UAAAUGCUGUUACCGGGUUCAGGCUGAUCAGCAAGGCCCUGACCCCAGGUGGAGGCUCACUAUUGCACUCCGGCGUGUUGAAGCCUGCGAUGGACUCUAAUCAGGUUCGCUCGGGUGCAUAGUUUUUGCCAGUGGGGAGCCCUCGGGCAUCCCUU
rnacentral:snRNA from 1 species